UGUCCAGUAGCACCUUGGAGACCAACUAAGUUUGUUCUGGGUAUAAGCUUUCAUGUGUAUGCAUACUUAUACCCAGAACAAACUUAGUUGGUCUCUAAGGUGCUACUGGAAA